rnacentral:rRNA from 1 species
CGGAGGAUCCAAGCGUUAUCCGGAAUCAUUGGGUUUAAAGGGUCCGUAGGCGGUCUUAUAAGUCAGUGGUGAAAGCCCAUCGCUCAACGAUGGAACUGCCAUUGAUACUGUAGGACUUGAAUUUUUGUGAAGUAACUAGAAUAUGUAGUGUAGCGGUGAAAUGCUUAGAUAUUACAUGGAAUACCAAUUGCGAAGGCAGGUUACUAACAAACGAUUGACGCUGAUGGACGAAAGCGUGGGGAGCGAACAGGAUU